AGUGAACGCUGGCGGUAGGCCUAACACAUGCAAGUCGAACGGCAGCACAGGAGAGCUUGCUCUCUGGGUGGCGAGUGGCGGACGGGUGAGGAAUACAUCGGAAUCUACUCUGUCGUGGGGGAUAACGUAGGGAAACUUACGCUAAUACCGCAUACGACCUACGGGGGAAAGCAGGGGAUCUUCGGACCUUGCGCGAUUGAAUGAGCCGAUCUCGGAUUAGCUAGUUGGCGGGGUAAAGGCCCACCAAGGCGACGAUCCGUAGCUGGUCUGAGAGGAUGAUCAGCCACACUGGAACUGAGGCACGGUCCAGACUCCUACGGGAGGCAGCAGUGGGGAAUAUUGGACAAUGGGCGCAAGCCUGAUCCAGCCAUACCGCGUGGGUGAAGAAGGCCUUCGAGUUGUAAAGCCCUUUUGUUGGGAAAGAAAUCCAGCUGGCUAAUACCCGGUUGGGAUGACGGUACCCAAAGAAUAAGCACCGGCUAACUUCGUGCCAGCCGCCGCCGUAA
rnacentral:rRNA from 1 species